AGUGAACGCUGGCGGUAGGCCUAACACAUGCAAGUCGAACGGCAGCACAGUAAGAGCUUGCUCUUACGGGUGGCGAGUGACGGACGGGUGAGGAAUACAUCGGAAUCUACUUUUUCGUGGGGGAUAACGUAGGGAAACUUACGCUAAUACCGCAUACGACCUACGGGUGAAAGCAGGGGAUCUUCGGACCUUGCGCGAUUGAAUGAGCCGAUGUCGGAUUAGCUAGUUGGCGGGGUAAAGGCCCACCAAGGCGACGAUCCGUAGCUGGUCUGAGAGGAUGAUCAGCCACACUGGAACUGAGACACGGUCCAGACUCCUACGGGAGGCAGCAGGGGGGAAUAUUGGACAAUGGGCGCAAGCCUGAUCCAGCCAUACCGCGUGGGUGAAGAAGGCCUUCGGGUUGUAAAGCCCUUUUGUUGGGAAAGAAAAGCAGCAGGUUAAUACCCCGCUGUUCUGACGGUACCCAAAGAAUAAGCACCGGCUAACUUCGUG
rnacentral:rRNA from 1 species